AUAAUAUGGUAGCGACAGUGCCGUAAAUAGCCUUUUUUGCGAGCUGUGCGAGCUUCUGUAACUGCGCCCUUGUUUUUUUUUAGAUAUUGUAGGUACCCA